GGGGGCGGAUGGGGCCUGGUGGCUCCUGCGGUCUUCAAAACCGUUUGCGUGGCACUAACCUGUCAUGGGUGGGUUCGAUUCCUACACGCUCCCGCCA
rnacentral:tRNA from 1 species